UAGGGAAUCUUCCACAAUGGACGCAAGUCUGAUGGAGCAACGCCGCGGGAGUGAAGAAGGUUUUCGGAUCGUAAAGCUCUGUUGUUGGUGAAGAAGGAUAGAGGCAGUAACUGGUCUUUAUUUGACGGUAAUCAACCAGAAAGUCACGGCUAACUACGUGCCAGCAGCCGCGGUAAUACGUAGGUGGCAAGCGUUGUCCGGAUUUAUUGGGCGUAAAGCGAGCGCAGGCGGAAUGCUAAGUCUGAUGUGAAAGCCCACGGCUCAACCGUGGAACUGCAUCGGAAACUGUCAUUCUUGAGCGCAGAAGAGGAGAGUGGAAUUCCAUGUGUAGCGGUGGAAUGCGUAGAUAUAUGGAAGAACACCAGUGGCGAAGGCGGCUCUCUGGUCUGCAACUGACGCUGAGGCUCGAAAGCAUGGGUAGCGAACAGG
rnacentral:rRNA from 1 species